AACGAACGCUGGCGGCAGGCCUAACACAUGCAAGUCGAGCGCCCCGCAAGGGAGCGGCGCACGGGUGAGUAACGCGUGGGAAUAUGCCCUGGGGCUGGGGAUAACGGCGGGAAACUGCCGCUAAUACCCGGUACGCCAUGAGUGGGAAAGGAGCAAUCCGCCCUGGGAGUAGCCCGCGUUGGAUUAGCUAGUUGGUGUGGUAAGAGCGCACCAAGGCGACGAUCCAUAGCUGGUCUGAGAGGAUGAUCAGCCACACUGGGACUGAGACACGGCCCAGACUCCUACGGGAGGCAGCAGUGGGGAAUAUUGGACAAUGGGGGCAACCCUGAUCCAGCCAUGCCGCGUGAGUGAAGAAGGCCCUAGGGUUGUAAAGCUCUUUCGCACGCGACGAUGAUGACGGUAGCGUGAGAAGAAGCCCCGGCUAACUUCGUG
rnacentral:rRNA from 1 species